CCUAAACAAUCCUGAACUGAUAUUAUUACAUUAUUUUUUGUCCACCUGGCAUGGAGAGUGCAUGUGUAUGCACUCUCUUAAAGAGCGUGAACAAAUUUAAAAAACGAAUAUAAUUUUAUUUUUACAAGUAUAUUGCUAUAAAAUAUAUUUUCUUGUUUUUCUUAUUAUUUUAAAUUUUUUUCCUUAUUUUUUUUUUCUUUUUCUUUCUUCCUUCUUCUUCAAAAAUUCAUUGUCAUCUUCAUUGUAGCUUCUCACUUUCAAUGUCACUCUUUACCGCAACUCCGCCUCCCCUUUUUACUACUAUUAGUUUAACUUUCUUCAAUUUUAAAAUUAUAUCUAAACAUUUAUUACAUUUCGAACAAUUGAUAAACCCAUUAGAUUUCAAGAUGAUUAGUAGGUAUUAUUUAGUUAUUUUAUCCAAAUUCAAUUAAACUUUUUAAAUUUUUGGAGAAUUCUGAUUCUUUUAAAAUUAUCAUUUCUAGUUUUGAAGUUAUAUGAAAAUGAGAUAAAUUAAUUGAUGAUACCUUCAAAAUUUUGAUUUUUCUUAGAAAAAUAAUUAGUUUUGUUAUCAAUAACUCAACAAAGUCU
rnacentral:lncRNA from 1 species